GUGCUUGCUUUGGCAGCACAUAUACUAAAAU
rnacentral:snRNA from 1 species